CCUACGGGAGGCAGCAGUGAGGAAUAUUGGACAAUGGGCGCAAGCCUGAUCCAGCCAUGCCGCGUGCAGGAUGACGGUCCUAUGGAUUGUAAACUGCUUUUAUACGAGAAGAAACACUACUUCGUGAAGUAGCUUGACGGUAUCGUAAGAAUAAGGAUCGGCUAACUCCGUGCCAGCAGCCGCGGUAAUACGGAGGAUCCAAGCGUUAUCCGGAAUCAUUGGGUUUAAAGGGUCCGUAGGCGGUUUAAUAAGUCAGUGGUGAAAGCCCAUCGCUCAACGGUGGAACGGCCAUUGAUACUGUUAGACUUGAAUUAUUAGGAAGUAACUAGAAUAUGUAGUGUAGCGGUGAAAUGCUUAGAGAUUACAUGGAAUACCAAUUGCGAAGGCAGGUUACUACUAAUAUAUUGACGCUGAUGGACGAAAGCGUGGGUAGCGAACAGGAUUAGAUACCCUGGUAGUCCACGCCGUAAACGAUGGAUACUAGCUGUUGGAAGCAAUUUCAGUGGCUAAGCGAAAGUGAUAAGUAUCCCACCUGGGGAGUACGUUCGCAAGAUGAAACCUCAAAGGAAUUGACGGCUGAGAGAGCGACGACGACGACGAGGGAGGAGG
rnacentral:rRNA from 1 species